GCUGGCGGCGUUCAUACACAUGACGAUCAAACGAGAAAGUGGAGCAAUCCAUGAGUACAGUGGCGUUCGGCUGAGUAACACGUGGAGAUAGAUCUACCUCUUAGUGGGGAAUAACCCUGGGAAACCGGGGCUAAUACCGCAUAAGCUCGAGAGAGGAAAGCAGCAAUGCGCUGAGAGAGGAGCCCGCGGCCGAUUAGCUAGUUGGCAGGGUAAGAGCCUACCAAGGCAAAGAUCGGUAGCCGGCCUGAGAGGGCACACGGCCACACUGGCACUGAAAUACGGGCCAGACUCCUACGGGAGGCAGCAGUGGG
rnacentral:rRNA from 1 species